rnacentral:lncRNA from 1 species
GCGGAUGAAUCUCCCCAACGCCAUCCAAAGCCCACCUCCAGCCGACCCUCCGUCAGAUUCUUCAUGAAAUCGGACUUCCCCAACAGAAAGUCCCUGUCCGAGCUUCUAUAGCAGACGGUUCCCACCUACAGCAUCAGUGCUCUAGACACCCAACAACAGUAGACCCAUCACAACCUCGAAAACAUCCGAGCUUCUCCUAGAUCGAUGAGAUAGAGAGCCAUUCCGCUCCAUCAGACAUCCCAGCC